rnacentral:rRNA from 1 species
UACGUAGGGAGCGAGCGUUGUCCGGAAUGACUGGGUGUAAAGGGAGUGUAGGCGGGAUGGCAAGUCAGAUGUGAAACCUGAGGGCUCAACCUUCAGACUGCAUUUGAAACUGCUGUUCUUGAGUGAAGUAGAGGUAAGCGGAAUUCCUGGUGUAGCGGUGAAAUGCGUAGAGAUCAGGAGGAACAUCGGUGGCGAAGGCGGCUUACUGGGCUUUUACUGACGCUGAGGCUCGAAAGCGUGGGGAGCAAACAGG